AUGCAUAUAAUUUAUAAGUCUAUCGAAUAUAUUACUUUAAUGCAUAUAAUUUAAUAGAGUUAUUGAUUUAAGUUUUAAAUAAAAUAAAAUUGAACUGAUAGCCAAACAAUUAACCGAAAUAUCCAGAAACUUAGUAAAUAUCCAAAAUUAGUACCUAUAACUAUAAUUCUAAACUUAAAAUAUUAAUUAUUUUUAGAACCAAAACAAUCAAAUACUUUAAAUAAUCAAAAUAUCCAAAUAUUGUUAGUUAUAUUUGUGAAAAUUAAAUACUCUUUUAUAAAAUAGAACCAAAAUUUUAAUUUUCUUUUCUAAUAUUUUCCUCUUUGUAUUUUUUUUGUUAAGUUUGGUUAAAUUUGGUUAAAUUUGGUUAAUUUUAGUUAAUUUUGAAAGAAAGAAAAACGAAUCUGAAAAAAAUUUGGUUAGUUACGGUUAUCGAUUCAAAAAUGAGUUAUCGACUGUCACGUUAUCAAUACACGGAAGGGCUAUGUUGCAAGAUAUUUUUUAGAUUGUGGUUUGACCUGUAUUUAUUAGAUAUGAAGGUUUGUCUUGCAAAAAAAAAAAAAAUUGAGAGUUUUUUUCA
rnacentral:sRNA from 1 species